rnacentral:rRNA from 1 species
GACGAACGCUGGCGGCGUGCUUAACACAUGCGAGUCGAACGAUGAUGCCAGCUUGCUGGUGGAUUAGUGGCGAACGGGUGAGUAACACGUGAGCAACCUGCCCCUGACUUCGGGAUAACCGCGGGAAACCGUGGCUAAUACCGGAUAUGACGCGCUAUCGCAUGGUGGUGUGUGGAAAGAUUUAUCGGUUGGGGAUGGGCUCGCGGCCUAUCAGCUUGUUGGUGGGGUGAUGGCCUACCAAGGCGACGACGGGUAGCCGGCCUGAGAGGGUGACCGGCCACACUGGGACUGAGACACGGCCCAGACUCCUACGGGAGGCAGCAGUGGGGAAUAUUGCACAAUGGGCGCAAGCCUGAUGCAGCGACGCCGCGUGAGGGAUGACGGCCUUCGGGUUGUAAACCUCUUUCAGUAGGGAAGAAGGCCUUCGGGUUGACGGUACCUGCAGAAGAAGCGCCGGCUAACUACGUG